GAGAGAGGCUAUGAGCUACAUGAACUGCUAAUUCUUGUUUCCUGAGUUAAAUUCCCAGGCUCACUCG
rnacentral:tRNA from 1 species